UACGGAGGGUGCAAACGUUGCUCGGAAUCAUUGGGCGUAAAGCGCACGUAGGCGGCUCAACAAGUCGGGUGUGAAAGCCCUCGGCUCAAACCGAGGAAGUGCAUUCGAAACUACUGAGCUUGAAUACUGGAGAGGAUCGCGGAAUUCCCGGUGUAGAGGUGAAAUUCGUAGAUAUCGGGAGAACACCAGUGGCGAAGGCGGCGAUCUGGACAGAUAUUGACGCUGAGGUGCGAAAGCGUGGG
rnacentral:rRNA from 1 species